rnacentral:lncRNA from 1 species
ACUGAGGUCUGAACCACCACAGGACAUGAACGCAGGGGAGCGACUGAGGAGCGUGGAGGUCAGUUCCUCUGGGGUGUGGAGGACGUGACGGCGUUUACUUGAGGUAAACCUCGCAAGGGGGAGAAGUUUGCUCAAAAAGUCUUUAAAUAACAAAUGAGGGAGAUUCUAUUUUAUUCCAUAAGCAAUGGAUAGGCAGCCAAGUUUUCUUGAGAAAAAAUAGACACAAUUUGAGCAAUUCUAGCAUAUGGUUAGAAAUUUAUGUCUGGCACAAAAUUACGUUUGCAAGUUUAUAGCCCCUAGCAUUAGUUUUUAAGCAACAUUACAGCAACUAGCCUGGUAAAAACGAGAACACAGGUAAUAAGCCCAAGGUCAGCUCAGGGUGAAGUGGGUCCAUCUGCAAGAGACCUUUACCCUUCAAUGGAGCAGAAAGUGGGAGGGAGCCGGGGCCUUGGGUGAAUUCCCUGAACAGCUGCAAUCACCCUGGACUGUUUGCUUCUGAACUUUCUAUUCCCCGAAAACACAUCUUUUUUGGUGAGGCUGCUGUAAUUUGGUUUGGUUAGAUGCUGCUGAAGUCAUCAUUAUUGACACAAUGUAUGCAGUCAAUACUUGUGAGAAGUCUGGCUGCAGAAGUAGGAGACAGAGCAACAACUGGAAUGUGUCCAGAACCUCCCGGGAAGCACAGGUUAUGUGGUCAUAUUCACUCACAGGCCUGAAUCUGCACCAGAAGAAAUGAUAGGCACCUACUAAGGCCCAAGUCUCAGGGGAGGCCCAGCUGGGCCCGCUUGGACGGAUGGAGUCCCGUGAGUCCCAACGUCUUUACAGAACUACACACCA